rnacentral:rRNA from 1 species
GACGGAAGGUGCAAGCGUUGCUCGGAAUCACUGGGCGUAAAGGGCGCGUAGGCGGCCUUGUAAGUCCUGUGUGAAAUCCCCCGGCUCAACUGGGGAACUGCACAGGAGACUGCUUGGCUUGAGUUCGGGAGAGGGAAGCGGAAUUCCGGGUGUAGCGGUGAAAUGCGUAGAUAUCCGGAGGAACACCGGUGGCGAAGGCGGCUUCCUGGACCGACACUGACGCUGAGGCGCGAAAGCCAGGGGAGCAAACGGG